UACGUAGGGUGCAAGCGUUGUCCGGAAUUAUUGGGCGUAAAGAGCUCGUAGGCGGUUUGUCGCGUCUGCUGUGAAAACGCGAGGCUCAACCUCGCGCCUGCAGUGGGUACGGGCAGACUAGAGUGCGGUAGGGGAGACUGGAAUUCCUGGUGUAGCGGUGGAAUGCGCAGAUAUCAGGAGGAACACCGGUGGCGAAGGCGGGUCUCUGGGCCGUAACUGACGCUGAGGAGCGAAAGCGUGGGGAGCGAACAGG
rnacentral:rRNA from 1 species